GCUCGAUCCUGGCUCAGAUUGAACGCUGGCGGGAUGCUUUAUACACAUGCAAGCCAACCAGCACGGGACUGUCCGGUGGCGAGUGGCGAACGGUGAGUAAUGUAUCGGAACGUGUCAUAGCGGGGGGAUAACUACGCGAAAGCGUAGCCACAUCGCAUACGCCCCCUUGGGGAAAGCGGGGAAUCUUCGCCUCGCACUAUUAGAGGCCUGAUAUCGGAUUAGCUAGUUGGUGGGGUAACGGCUCACCAAGGCGACGAGAUCCGUGGCUGGUUUGAGAGGACGACCAGCCACACUGACUGGAGACGGCCCAGACUCCUACGGGAGGCAGCAGGGGGGAAUUUUUGGACAAUGGGGGAAACCCUGAUCCAGCCAUCCCGCGUGCAUAAGGCCUCUGGGUUGUGGUAAAGACUCCUUACAGGAAAGAAACGGCACGGGAUAAUACUCCCCGUGCAACUGACGGUACCUGCAGAAUAAGCACCGGCUAACUACGCCAGCAGCCGCGGUAAUAAUGCAGGUGCAAGGCAAUCGGAAUUACUGGGCGUAAAGCGUGCGCAGGCGGUUCGGAAAGAAAGAUGUGGAAAUCCCAGAGCUUAACUUUUGAACCGGCAUUUUUAACUACCGAGCUAGAGUGUGUCAGAGGGAGGUGGAAUUCCGCGUGUAGCAGUGAAAUGUAGAUAUGUGGAGGAACAACUGACAUGUGAAGGCAGCCUCCUGGGGAUAACACUGACGCUCAUGCACGAGCGUGUGAGCAAACAGGAUUAGAUAAUUUUAGUCCACGCUCCUAAACGAUGUCAACUAGCUGUUGGGGCCUUCGGGCCUUGGUAGCGCAGCUAACGGGCAGUGGGAAGUUGACUGCCUGGGGAGUACGGUCGCAAGAUUAAAACUCAAAGGAAUUACGACCCGGCACAAGCGGUGGAUGAUGUGGAUUAAUUCGAUGCAACGCGAAAACCUUACCUACCCUUGACAUGUCUGGAAUCCCGAAGAGAUUUGGGAGUGCUCGCAAGAGAACCGGAACACAGGUGCUGCAUGGCUGUCGUCAGCUCGUGUCGUGAGAUGUUGGGUUAAGUCCUUUGCAACGAGCGCAACCCUUGUCAUUAGUUACAUGAAAGGGCACUCUACCAGACUGCCGGUGACAAACCGAGGAAGGUGGAUGACGUCAAGUCCCCGCGGCCUGCGGGUAGGCUUCACACGUCAUACAAUGGUCGGGACAGAGGGUCGCUAACCCGCGAGGGUUUAAUCCCAGAAACCCGAUCAGUCUGAUCGCAGUUCGCAACCUCGACUGCGUGAAGUCGGAAUCGCUAGUAAUCGCGGAUCAGCAAUGUCGCGGUGAAUACGUUCCCGGGUCUUGUACACACCGCCCGUCACACCAUGGGAGUGGGUUUUACCAGAAGUAGUUAGCCUAACCGUAAGGAGUGGCGAUUACCACGGUAGGAUCUGGCGACUGGGGUGAAGUCGUAACAAGGCAA
rnacentral:rRNA from 1 species